AUAUUUACCUGGCGUAGGGGCUACCGUGAUCACGAAGGCCGUUCCCCCAGGGCGAGGCCCCUCCAUUGCACUGCGGUUGGGUUGACCCCUGCGAUUAUCCCUAAUGCGGAUAACUUGAACGCGUAAUUUUUUAUAGUGGCCUUAAAAAAGAGCCGC
rfam:Papilio xuthus contig17576, whole genome shotgun sequence.